rnacentral:sRNA from 1 species
GUGUAAUUUCUGGGGUCCCUCCUCCACACAUUCCCGCAAUUAUCUCCCUCUCUCCGUAGAGCGGAGCGAGACCUUCCUGGAAGUGUGGGGGAAUGCGCUGCUGCGCCCGCCAGUGGCCGCCUUCGUGCGUGCCCAGGCCGACCUGCUGGCGCACCUGGUCCCCGAGCCCGACCGCCUGGAGGAACAGCUGCCCUGGCUCAGCCUCCGCGCCCUCAAGUUCCGCGAGCGGGAUGCCCUGGAGGCCGUGUUCCGCUUCUGGACUGGCGGCGAGAAAGGGCCCGAGGCCUUCCCCAUGAGCCGCCUCUGGGACUCGCGGCUGCGCCACUACCUGGGCUCCCGCUACGACGCCCGGCGCGGUGUCAGCGACUGGGACCUGCGCAUGAAGCUGCAUGACCGCGGGGCCCAAGUCAUUCACCCCCAGGAGUUCCGACGCUGGCGGGACACAGGCGUCGCCUUUGAACUCAGGGACUCCAGCGCCUAUCAUGUGCCCAACCGGACCCUGGCGUCCGGUCGCCUCCUGAGCUACCGUGGGGAGCGCGUGGCAGCGCGCGGGUACUGGGGGGACAUCGCCACGGGGCCCUUCGUGG